rnacentral:rRNA from 1 species
ACUGCGAGUGAAGCGGGAAAAGCUCAAAUUUAAAAUCUGGCGGUCUCUGGCCGUCCGAGUUGUAAUCUAGAGAAGUAAUGCCCGUGCUGGACCGUGUAUAAGUCUCCUGGGAUGGGGCGUCAUAGAGGGUGAGAAUCCCGUCUUUGACACGGACUACCAGUGCAUUGUGGUAUGCUCUCAAAGAGUCGAGUUGUUUGGGAAUGCAGCUCAAAAUGGGUGGUAAAUUCCAUCUAAAGCUAAAUAUUGGCGAGAGACCGAUAGCGAACAAGUACCGUGAGGGAAAGAUGAAAAGAACUUUGGAAAGAGAGUUAAACAGUACGUGAAAUUGCUGAAAGGGAAACGCUUGAAGUCAGUCGCGUUGGCCAGGGAUCAGCCUUGCUUUUGCAUGGUGUACUUUCUGGUUGACGGGUCAGCAUCAAUUUCGACCGCUGGAAAAGGUCCUGGGGAAUGUGGCAGCUCCGGCUGUGUUAUAGCCCCUGGUCGCAUACAGUGGUUGGGAUUGAGGAACUCAGCACGCCGCAAGGCCGGGUUUCGACCACGUUCGUGCUUAGGAUGCUGGCAUAAUGGCUUUAAGCGACCCGUCUUGAAACACGGACCAAGGAGUCUAACAUGCCUGCGAGUAUUUGGGUGGAAAACCCGAGUGCGCAAUGAAAGUGAAAGUUGAGAUCCCUGUCGUGGGGAGCAUCGACGCCCGGACCAGAACUUUUGGGACGGAUCCGCGGUGGAGCAUGUAUGUUGGGACCCGAAAGAUGGUGAACUAUGCCUGAAUAGGGUGAAGCCAGAGGAAACUCUGGUGGAGGCUCGUAGCGAUUCUGACGUGCAAAUCGAUCGUCAAAUUUGGGUAUAGGGGCGAAAG